rnacentral:rRNA from 1 species
UACAGAGACUGCAAGCGUUAUUCGGAUUCACUGGGCGUAAAGGGUGCGCAGGCGGCCAAGUGUGUCAGGUGUGAAAUCCCGGGGCUCAACCCCGGAACUGCGCCUGAAACUACUUGGCUAGAGCAUUGGAGAGGGAAGUGGAAUUCACGGUGUAGCAGUGAAAUGCGUAGAUAUCGUGAGGAACACCAGAGGCGAAGGCGACUUCCUGGACAAUUGCUGACGCUCAGGCACGAAAGCGUGGGGAGCCAAAGGG